rnacentral:tRNA from 1 species
GGGGGCAUAGCUCAGUUGGGAGAGCAACAGACUGAAGUGAUUAUGUUAUGUCAGAUAGCGUAAGUCUUCUGGAGGUCCCCAGUUCAAUCCUGGGUGCCCUCA